UAAGAUCAUGACCCAAGCCGAAGUCGGCCGCUUAACUGACUGAGCCACCCAGGCGCCCCUGUGGGCAGCUUUUAAGCAAAGCUUGUUCUCAGGGCACCAUCUUGACCAAGAACCUACGUUCAGGGCAUACUCUAAUAAUGCAACCAGGACUCAUCAACUGGAUCCCAAAUCAGUACUUUCCAAAAGAGACUCACCUGGGAACUGGUCCCAAAUAUAAAUAUGGUGAAGAGAGAGAGAGAGAGAGAGAGACAAAGAAAAGGAACAGUACCCCAGCAUCCCGGUCAGCAGGCUCAUCUAUGACUCACCUGUAGACAAAGAGAAAAUAAAUAUGGACUUUAGGCACCAAAAAGUCUGGUGACUGUGCGCUCAAAGUAAGAAAAGAAGACCCCCCCACCCCCCCCACCCCCGCCAAUCCAGCUUUUGGAUUGUUUUUAAAAGGACAUGAAACCCAGGCUUGGGUCACAUGCACUGUUGGAAAAGUCCUUCCCUACUGGAUUGUGCCAUGUGACCCUGAGGUCCCUUUCUCACUCUUGUUCUCCCUUGGCCACAGCUGGUUAUAGCUGAGGCAGGGGGUCACCCAGGGCAGUAAAGCAGACUGGCUGAGAUGAAGAUGCAGGGAUCCAUGCUGCCUUCUCACCAUGCACUUCCCCUCCAAGGACAGCCUGCUGCAGUGGAGCUGCUCUAGAUCCUUAACACAACUGGCUUGAAGGCACAGAACAGGGAAGGAAAGGCCUGGAGCCUCUGCAGUGGGGUUGAGCACAGCUUCCAGGGCUUUAUUUCUUCAGUCUGAAAUCAUAAACCACUCACUGCUUUUGCCGUCAUUCCCUGGAGGUACCAGUAAGUGUUUGAUACCAGUGUGAUCCUCAGAUGAGGAACUGGCCUUUAGGACUGUUUGCCCAUAUCCUGAUCUUACGAGCAGGUGGUAGACUUGCACUUUCUCCCCAGAUUUGCUUUGGCCAGCAAAAUGUGACCAGAAGUGUUCUACUUCUAAGCAGAGGUCCUUAGGAGCCAGUGUGUGAUUUUCCACACUCCGUUCCCUUUGCCAGGAGUGACUGGUGGUGUCCCAGAGAAUGGAGGCUCUGUCAGCCUAGGUUCCAUGUUAGGGCACUAUGGUGUAGAGCCCUCACCAACAAAUGUGCAACAUGAAAUGUGACUGAGAAAUAAACCUUUGAUGUUUGAAGCCACUGAGAUUUGGGGUUGUUGCCACAGCAUAACUUAGUUUACCCUGACCACUACAACCACAGUAGAGAUUGUGUCUAAGAAGACUCAGCUGCACCCAGCACAGACCCAGACAUUUAUUGAGCACCCACUAGGAGCUGGGUGUUCUGUCAGGACAGGGCUAAAUUGCCAACACCAGGACAGAUUUACACAUGUGUGCAGAAGAAGGAACAAUUCAUUCUUUAUGUAAGUGACAUUAAGCUAAACCUUGGAGAGUUUCAGUCCAUCAAUACCAACAGCAGUUAACAUUUUUUGAGCUAUGUAGUAGGAGCUAAUCUAUACUUGUUUGGACCUAUUUGAUCUAUAUGGUGACCCUAGAAGGUGGGUACUAUUAUCUUCAUUUCUCAGAUGAAGAAACCGAGACACAAGUUAAGUAACCUACCUAAGAUCACAACUCUCAGAUUCAACCCCAGAGCCCAUUUUCUUUAGCAUUCUAGG